UUCAAAAAAAGAAAUGUUAAGUAUAACUUUAAUGUCUUAAUAGGCACAUUGGUAAUUAUAAUGAUUCAAGUUGAAUUUACUGCAUGCUGGGUUUGUUAUUCCCUUUUUUCCAGAAAUCUUCAGACCAGACUCCGAUUAAAAACACGUCAAAAAUCCCCCAAGAAUAAAACGCAUGUAAGUCUGGUGCCCUACCAAUGCAGAAUAUGUGCAGGUUUUCUUCUUGGGAAAUAUUACUUUCCUUAAGAAUCUAGAAGGAAAUGGCUAGACACAAAUUCAGAGCAAGGAGAAUAAUGCUGUCUGAAGGAACUCCAGGAUCCUAUCCCAGAUCUAUGUUAGGGGUCACCGGAGCCACCCAGAUUCAGUCCGUAUCCAAACCAGACGGUGGAUCAGCAUCUAGAGAUGACCUUUACAGCCCUGAACGUCAGCGGAGACCAGGACACCUAAAUGAGUUAAGACCAUGUCACUUAGACGGCCAUCGGGACAAGACCACAGGAACCAGAUGAGUCCUCUGCGCAAUCUGACUUUGUUGCAGCCUAGAAUUAAACUGCUGGUUUCGUCUGGCCAGGGAAGAACGAUGGGGUUUUGGUUCCUUUAACACACUGUUUUCCUGUUUAAUACUUUAAAGCUACAAUCUGUAUUGUAAAAAGUGCUAUAUAAAUAACGGUGACUUGACUUGCUGCAGUUUAAUUGCUUGACCUCUUUAUUUCUGAUUAAAUUUCCUUCAUGUGAAUGUGCCUUUACUGAAUAUCUUUCAAAAUGGUCAUCAAAAAAUUAAGCUCAAAUCAGAAAAAAAAAUAAAAUUGU